rnacentral:rRNA from 1 species
UACGUAGGGCGCAAGCGUUAUCCGGAAUUAUUGGGCGUAAAGAGCUCGUAGGCGGUUUGUCGCGUCUGCCGUGAAAGUCCGGGGCUCAACUCCGGAUCUGCGGUGGGUACGGGCAGACUAGAGUGAUGUAGGGGAGACUGGAAUUCCUGGUGUAGCGGUGAAAAUGCGCAGAUAUCAGGAGGAACACCGAGUGGCGAAGGCAGGUCUCUGGGCAUUAACUGACGC